CGGGGGGCCCGCUCCGCCCACCCGCCCGCGCGCGGGGCGGCGUGCUGCGCAGGCGCCACGCCGGUCCCGCCCCGCGGCGACAGCGCCAAUCAGCAAGCGGACAGGCAGCCUAGCUUGGUGCGGCACGAGGCUAUCGCGCUCAGCGCCUGCGUCUGUUAGCAGUGUCGCCCCCUGUCUCGUGGGGGGUCUCCCUCCUGCGCCUGUCACCAUGUCCACGCUUGGAUCCCGAGGUGCCCAUCCGGUGCCGGACCCGUGUUCCACUGCCCCCCCAGUCUCACAACAUUUAGAUUCUAAACCAGCCGGGGCCACUGCCGGCGACCACCCGCUAUAUAUCCCGGAUCCCGGAUCCCAUCUAACGCUUUUCUGACUCAGAAUCCGGGGAUAUGCUUCAUUCUUCCCUUGUCCAGCUUAGUCUAACCACCAUCUUUCGCCUGGAAGUCCAGGGCCUUCCUAAAGAACCUCUCGCCUUCCUUUUGUCCCUCCCCCUAUAACCCCUUUCUCUUCUCAUCCAGAGGGUCCAGGUGGCGCUGCCCCCUGGUUUCAUUGCUCCCCUAGGGCAGAGCCUGACCGGCCCAGGGCAGGUACUUAAUUAAGAUUGCUGUAUGAGUGGACAGUUGUGGCCAGUACCGUAAGUAGGCUGGACCUCCUGGCCGUCCGACCUAAUGUCUGCCUUCUGGAUGAGUUAGGAGAAUGCCGGUGGUAAGGCCCCAAGUUCCACCCCGGGAGACAGAGAGGUGGUCUGCACACCUGGUUCUCCCCUGCAGGUGUCUUUUCAGCCCCAGACCCCGUGAUUCAUGCUCUGGUUGAAGGCAGGGCCUGGGCGAAGAAACCCAAGCCCACAGCAGGCAGGUGUCUUCAGAUUUAUUUUAUCCUCAUUCAAGAGAGGGAGAGAGAAGCAUUGAUUGGUCGUCUUCACGGGCACUUUGAGGAUUGAACCUACAAUGUAGGCAUGUGCGCUGACCAGGAAUUGAACUGAUGAUGACAUUUUGGUUACAGGAUGACACUCCAACCAACUGAGCCCACCAGCCAGGGCAUGACUUCAUUCCUUAAUUGAAGAAAUAUAAUUACAGAGACAACACACAUUAAUUGUAAUCAGUGAAACCAUCCAAACAUGUUUAAACAAAAAAGUUAUCAAAUACCCCCCACCCCACUUUGUGUCAGGGGUCCCCAGGACUAUCUCCCCUGCAAUCCAGCUUUCAGUUUUUUGAGUGUACACAGAAAUGGGAUUCCAGAAGUAAAAUCACUGUGUUA